AGAGUUUGAUCCUGGCUCAGGAUGAACGCUAGCUACAGGCUUAACACAUGCAAGUCGUGGGGCAGCAUGGGAGAUGCUUGCAUUUCCCGAUGGCGACCGGCGCACGGGUGAGUAACGCGUAUCCAACCUGCCCUUCACUCCGGCACAGCCCGUCGAAAGACGGAUUAAUGCGGGAUGCAGUCAGAAAGAUGCAUAUUAAUUUGACGAAAGGCUUUAUGCCGGUGAGGGAUGGGGAUGCGUCCGAUUAGCUUGACGGCGGGGUAACGGCCCACCGUGGCGACGAUCGGUAGGGGUUCUGAGAGGAAGGUCCCCCACAUUGGAACUGAGACACGGUCCAAACUCCUACGGGAGGCAGCAGUGAGGAAUAUUGGUCAAUGGGCGAGAGCCUGAACCAGCCAAGUAGCGUGCAGGAAGACGGCCCUAUGGGUUGUAAACUGCUUUUGUGCGGGAAUAAAGCGGGUCACGUGUGGCCCUUUGCAUGUACCGUACGAAUAAGGACCGGCUAAUUCCGUGCCAGCAGCCGCGGUAAUACGGAAGGUCCGGGCGUUAUCCGGAUUUAUUGGGUUUAAAGGGAGCGUAGGCCGUCUCAAAAGCGUGUUGUGAAAUGUCCGGGCUCAACCGGGGCCGUGCAGCGCGAACUGUGAGACUUGAGUGUGCGGAAGGUAUGCGGAAUUCGUGGUGUAGCGGUGAAAUGCAUAGAUAUCACGAAGAACUCCGAUUGCGAAGGCAGCAUGCCGCAGCAUUACUGACGCUGAUGCUCGAAGGUGCGGGUAUCGAACAGGAUUAGAUACCCUGGUAGUCCGCACAGUAAACGAUGGAUGCCCGCUGUGAGCCUGUUUAAUGGUUUGCGGCCAAGCGAAAGCGUUAAGCAUCCCACCUGGGGAGUACGCCGGCAACGGUGAAACUCAAAGGAAUUGACGGGGGCCCGCACAAGCGGAGGAACAUGUGGUUUAAUUCGAUGAUACGCGAGGAACCUUACCCGGAGUUGAAUUGCAGGUGCAUGGGGUGGAGACAUCCCUUUCCUUCGGGACUCCUGUGAAGGUGCUGCAUGGUUGUCGUCAGCUCGUGCCGUGAGGUGUCGGCUUAAGUGCCAUAACGAGCGCAACCCCUCUCCGUAGUUGCCAUCGGGUCAAGCCGGGCACUCUGCGGACACUGCCUCCGCAAGGAGCGAGGAAGGUGGGGAUGACGUCAAAUCAGCACGGCCC
rnacentral:rRNA from 1 species